GACGAUCGCUGGCGGCGUGCCUAAUACAUGAAAGUCGAACGGACCGAUUUCGGUAGUUUACUAAUGGGAAUGGCUAGUGGCGGACGGGUGAGUAACGCGUGGGCAAUCUGCCUCCAAGUCAGGGAUAACAGAGCGAAAGUUCUGCUAAGACCGGCUACACUUUACUAGCCGCUUGGAUGGUAAAGGAAAGGGUACGCUUAGGGAUGAGCCCGCGUCCUAUUAGUUAGUUGGUGAGGUAACGGCCCACCAAGGCAACGAUGGGUACCCGGCCAGAAAGGGUGGACGGCCAAACUGGGAGUGAGACACGUCCCAGAGUCCUACGGGAUGCAGCAGUGGGGAAUAUUCGGCAAUGCGCGAAAGCCUGACCGAGCAACGCCGCGUGAGGGAAGAAUGUCUGCAGAUCGUAAACCGUUGUCUUCGAGUACUAUAAUGACGGUACUCGAGGAGGAAGCCCCGGCUAACUACGUG
rnacentral:rRNA from 1 species